UUUCCAUUUAAAUGCUCAAUAAGACUUUCAUUGUGGUUCACUAGGGGAUUCUUUCCCUUUUUUAAUGUUCUGAGAUGUGGGCUCACCCCUCCAUAUGCGAAUGGUUCGUUCUAGCAGUUCCGGGACUGAACGCUCCCCUAGUUUGCCGCUCCCGCGGCUGAGGGCUGCCUGGGAGCCGCGGUGCAUUGUGGGAAAUCGAGAGAUGGCGGCGCCCGUAAGGCGGACGCUGUUAGAGGUGGCGGGGAACUGGCGGCGGUUCGAGAGGCUCUGGGCCGGUAGUCUAAACUUUCGCAGCCUGGCUCUUGCAGCCGCAUCCUCAAGCAACGGAUCCCCAUGGCGCCUGUUGGGAGCGUUGUGCCUGCAGCGGCCACCUCUAGUCUCCAAGCCGUUGACCCCAUUGCAGGAAGAGAUGGCGUCUCUACUGCAGCAGAUUGAGAUAGAGAGAAGCGUGUAUUCAGACCAUGAGCUUCGUGCUCUUGAUGAAAACCAGCGAUUGGCAAAGAAGAAAGCCGACCUUUAUGAUGAACAAGAUGAACAGGAUAUAUUGCUGGUGCAAGAUUUGGAAGACAUGUGGGAGCAGACAUUUCUACAGUUCAAACCUGGAGCUCGCAUAACAGAAGCUGAUGAAAAGAAUGACCGAACAUCCCUGAACCGGAAGCUAGACAGGAACCUUGUCCUGUUAGUCAGAGAGAAGCUUGGAGACCAGGAUGUUUGGAUACUGCCCCAGGCAGAGUGGCAGCCUGGGGAGACCCUUCGAGGAACAGCUGAACGAGCCCUGGCAACACUCUCAGAAAACAACAUGGAAGCCAAGUUCCUAGGAAAUGCACCCUGUGGGCACUACAAAUUCAAGUUCCCCCAGGCAGUGCAGACAGAGAGUAACCUCGGGACCAAGGUGUUCUUCUUCAAAGCACUGCUAUUAACUGGAGACUUUUCCCAGGCCGGGAAUAAGGGCCAUCAUGUGUGGGUCACUAAGGACGAGCUGGGUGACUAUUUGAAACCAAAAUACCUGGCCCAAGUUAGGAGGUUUCUUUCGGACCUCUGAUGGGCUGAGCUGCCUGUGGACGGUGCUCAGACAAGUCUGAAGCCUCAAGAACGUUGUGUGAUUGCCUCACAUUCGCAGACCCUGCCUUUGGAUCAUGGAAUUCCUGAACUGGUCAUGGAGGAGCAAUCUGCAGGCUCAUGGACCCCUUGGAAAGCCUGAACUGGGGUGAUUUGUGAGAACAUGAAGAGGAUUGACGUGGAGAACAGUGAGGCUGAAGGGAUUGAAAUUAUUUGAACUUGGAGAAGAGAAUGAUGAGAGUCAUGGUUUUUGAGUGUGUAUAUGACUUACACAGAGGACGUCGAUUAGUCAUCUUGGUCUGAAUUAGAGGAAGUAAGCAAGCUUUAAAAUGCAACAGUAGGAAUUUUGACAAGUUACACAUGGGAAGAGUUCCUUGACAUUUAGGAUUAUUAAAUAUUAAACUGAAUUUUUUUUGAAGAUGCUACUUCUUAGUACAAAAAUCAACAGUUAAAGCUCAAUUUGGGAAAGCUAAUUGGUAACAGUCCGUGAGAAUCUCCAUGAGUAUUAAAAAUAAAGAACAAAUGUCAUUAAAAAUAAGGUCAGUUCUAAAUAGUCCAAUAGAUUAGUCGUUUUCCGUUUGUCAAUCACCUUACCACAUUUUCUACAAGAUAGUAAAUCUUGAUGACAAAGAAAAAUCUCAAAGAGAAUUCUUGAAACAUCCCGGUUAACCCUUCAACAAAUAUUUGUGGAGGAGGUUGCUUUACAGCCAAGCACUCGGAAUAAAAUGGAGAUCAAAAUACUCUUGGCCAACAUCUUCAGUUUAGUGCUGAGGGUGGGGGUGGAACCACGCCUGUCAACAAGCCAAAGGGAGCUGCGCUGUGCUCCAGCCCUGUGAGGGCCUCAGAGCAGGCCUCAGAAGAGAGGGGAGGGAGUCAGGGAAUAGAGGAGAGUAGGAAUCACAUGCACAAAGCCCAGAGAAGCCUAGAAGAAGCUCUGUGGGGCUGGAGUGCAGUGCACAUGGGAAUUACUUUACAGUGUUGUAAGUUCUUAGCUGUCCAAGACAGCUCAAGAGUAGUUUUGUCUGAAGGCAAGAGAAUGAGUUCCAUGAUGUCUUGUGCAGAAUCACAUCUUACCUGAGGGGUGGAUUCUAAAGUCACUGUAUAGGUCACAAAUCAUCUAUGACUAAAGUUACCACGGAAAUAUCCUUUAGAAAUGUAACACAUUGGUGACUGGCCAGGCCUCUCCGGGAAUCCAGCAUGGCCAGUGUUUCUUCUAGAGGUGGAACCAAUCAUGAUUUAUUUGGACUGAGCACAAGAUUAACCAGUUGGCUUGUGUUUAGGGGCCAUGGUGUAGAAAAUACUAAGAUUCCUAUCCCUGUCCCUGAAGGGCAGUUGACUGCAGGUCUGUGCCCCAUCCCUCAGAGGCUUGAAUGGAACAGUUUGGGAGAAUAUGGAAAGGAUUCUGAAUUUCACCAAAUGUGAGAUGUUCGCACAAAGACAGACAUUCAAAGUCCUAGAUGGAGUCGCUUCAUCCAUCCCAGGCUAACUCCAGAGCAGGAGCCCAUGAAAGAAAAUAGUGGAUAAAAAUGCCUGCACUGUUUACAGUAUUGUUUGUGUCACCUUUAAAAUUCCUGCUGUAAUAGUUUGAAUUUAUAAAAAUCAAAUGUGUAUAUGAUGGAAUUCUGUAGACUCCAUAGUAUUCCUUUGAUUCCUAGUAGUUUCUGUAGCACCCUGCACACUGCCAUCCACAACAGCUAAUUAUCCAGCAAUGAAGCUUGUAUUUUAAAGCAUGCAUGCAAGGGAAGCUUAGCCUCAAGGGUGGACAAAUUCCCCCACCCCCCCUUUUUUUUUAAGGGAGAGAGAUUUGGGUUUUGGAUAAGUUGUUAAGCCAACAAUGGGAAUGAUGAAUGAUUAAGUGAUUAAGUUGGGUCAUUCUAGCCUCAGGGAAUAAGAAUAUGUGAUUAUGAGUAAUGAUUGUAGACUUUUUGUUGGGCACAUAGAUGGACUAUGAAACCAGACCCCAAAAUUUUGCUGGGCCAUGGCUGCAUCAAUACAGUAAGAAUUUAACUUUUUAAGGUGGCUACUUUGAAACUCAUUUGGAUGAAAAAGUCUGUUUAUUAGGGGUAAGUUUAGUAUACAUUUCUGUCCCUAACAAAGAAAAAUGGCCACAUUUCCUUCCAUGGAUAUAGGGAACAUUUCUGUGCACUCUGUUCUUCCAUCCCUGUGUCUUCUCACCAGACUCUCACUCUCUCUCUCUCUCUCUCUCUCUCUCUCUCUCUCACACACACACACACACACUCUCUGUCACACACACACACUCCCUGAGACACACACACACACCCCUUGGAUGAAUAUCACAUCACACGGCUCUGAACAUUCACAUCACACACACACCUCCUGAACAUUCACACACACAUCCCCUAAGAGCUUUAAAUAUUCUCAUCACAUGCACGCAUAGCCUUGAAUGUUCGCAUCACACACAAACACUUGGGUGUUCGUUCCUGUCACACGCAGGUAUAAAGCUUGUUAUCCAUCUGAUACAUACAUACCCUUGAACGGUCACACUAAAACACACACAAGCACACUCUGCAGACAUACCUUUGAGGCUAAUACACAUGCUUAUUCUUGAGCAUUCACAUCACAUGUAGGCUUGAACAUGCACCUCACACACUGGGGCAUUUGCCUGUUGCUCUCAGAUCCAUUCCCUAGCCUUUCCCUGCUGUGUUUUGCAGUGCAUAUGUGUGUGUGUGCAUGUUGGGGAGGGUGCUAACCACUGCAAAUUACAUUUCUUAAACUUUUUUGCCAAUUGAAUUCCAGCUGGAUUUGGCCAUAAGAGGUACCAACAAGAGACUGAAAGGAGGAGCAGCCAGGUAUUUCUCCUCAUCUACUCCGGGCCCAGCUCUGCUGGCAGCUGCCUUCAUGAUUCAAAUUUCUGCAGGUAGUCGAGGCUCCUGGGAGCACCACGUCUUUCCCCAGCCCUGGGAAUGGCAGUGACUUCUAACUUCCUGAUCUCUGGGGUGUCCCACCAUCCUCCGUUUUUAUUUUUCAGCCUUUCCAACACCUUUGUAACUAGUUCCUUAUAUUAAACUCCGUCUUCUGAACUACCUGGCAUGGCCGAAUUUUUCCUAAUUGGACCCUGACUGAUGCUCAGCCAACGCCCACAGCUCACCUUAUAAUUUUCUAAACUCUGACCUACAGCCUUUCCUCCAACUGUGAUCAGAUUGUUAUUGGACCAAAUCCUGGUACAGA